rnacentral:rRNA from 1 species
UACAGAGGUCUCAACCGUUGUUCGGAUUCAUUGGGCGUAAAGGGUGCGUAGGCGGUCGGGUAAGUCGGAUGUGAAAUCUCAGGGCUCAACCCUGAAACUGCAUUCGAUGCUGCUUGGCUAGGGUACUGGAGAGGAGACUGGAAUUUACGGUGUAGCAGUGAAAUGCGUAGAUAUCGUAAGGAAGACCAGUGGCGAAGGCGAGUCUCUGGACAGUUACCGACGCUGAGGCACGAAGGCCAGGGGAGCAAACGGG